rnacentral:miRNA from 1 species
AGGCCCCCCACCUUCCACUCAAUUGCCUUCAAUUCUUCUUCAUUCUGUGUCAGCCCCUCUUUCUUUCGAUUUCACACAGACACAGACACAGACAAUAUAUAUAUACAUAUAUAUAUAUAUAUAUAUAUAUAUAUGUAUAUAUAUAUUGUCUGUGUCUGUGUCUGUGUGAAAUCGAAAGAAAGAGGGGCUGACACAGAAUGAAGAAGAAUUGAAGGCAAUUGAGUGGAAGGUGGGGGGCCU